GAUGAACGCUGGCGGCGUGCCUAAUACAUGCAAGUCGAGCGAACAGAUGAGGAGCUUGCUCCUCUGACGUUAGCGGCGGACGGGUGAGUAACACGUGGAUAACCUACCUAUAAGACUGGGAUAACUUCGGGAAACCGGAGCUAAUACCGGAUAAUAUAUUGAACCGCAUGGUUCAAUAGUUAAAGACGGUUUUGCUGUCACUUAUAGAUGGAUCCGCGCCGCAUUAGCUAGUUGGUAAGGUAACGGCUUACCAAGGCAACGAUGCGUAGCCGACCUGAGAGGGUGAUCGGCCACACUGGAACUGAGACACGGUCCAGACUCCUACGGGAGGCAGCAGUAGGGAAUCUUCCGCAAUGGGCGAAAGCCUGACGGAGCAACGCCGCGUGAGUGAUGAAGGUCUUCGGAUCGUAAAACUCUGUUAUUAGGGAAGAACAAAUGUGUAAGUAACUAUGCACGUCUUGACGGUACCUAAUCAGAAAGCCACGGCCAACUACGUG
rnacentral:rRNA from 1 species